UACCCCCUAGUCUGGGACAACCGACUGAAAAGUCUGCUAAUACCGGAUAAGACCACGACCACUCCGGUGGUUGCGGUCAAAGAUGGCCUCUACAUGUAAGCUAUUGCUAGAGGAUGGGCCUACGCACCAUUAGCUUGUUGGUGGGGUAAUGGCCUACCAAGGCUCUGAUGGUUAGCUGGUCUGAGAGGAUGAUCAGCCACACUGGGACUGAGACACGGCCCAG
rnacentral:rRNA from 1 species